rnacentral:sRNA from 1 species
CCCGGGUGUGGUGGUGCACGCCUGUGAUCCCAGUGGCUCAGGAGGCUGAGGCAGGAGGAUCGCGUUCGAGGCCCUGAGCAACUCAGGGAGACCCUGUUUCUA